UUUUUCAAGGCAGUACAUGUACUAAAAACUGGAAUGUUACAGAGAAGAUUAGUAUGGCCUCUGUGCAAUGAUAUAAAAAAAUUGUGAAGUGUUUCACAUUUUA